UGUUAAAUAUAUGUAAAUUCCAGGCAAUAUUUGGGACUUACAUAUGUUUAAA
rnacentral:pre_miRNA from 1 species